rnacentral:rRNA from 1 species
AGCGCAGACGGUUGAUUAAGUCUGAUGUGAAAGCCCGGAGCUCAACUCCGGAAUGGCAUUGGAAACUGGUUAACUUGAGUGCAGUAGAGGUAAGUGGAACUCCAUGUGUAGCGGUGGAAUGCGUAGAUAUAUGGAAGAACACCAUGGCGAAGGCGGCUUACUGGACUGUAACUGACGUUGAGGCUCGAAAGUGUGGGUAGCAAACA